UACGAAGGGGCUAGCGUUGCUCGGAAUCACUGGGCGUAAAGGGUGCGUAGGCGGGUUUUAAGUCAGAGGUGAAAUCCUGGAGCUCAACUCCAGAACUGCCUUUGAUACUGAGAAUCUUGAGUAUGGGAGAGGUGAGUGGAACUGCGAGUGUAGAGGUGAAAUUCGUAGAUAUUCGCAAGAACACCAGUGGCGAAGGCGGCUCUCUGGACCGAUACUGACGCUGAGGCGCGAAAGCGUGGGGAGCGAACAGG
rnacentral:rRNA from 1 species